AGAACUUAGCAGAGAUGCUUUGGUGCCUUCGGGAACUCUGAGACAGGUGCUGCAUGGCUGUCGUCAGCUCGUGUUGUGAAAUGUUGGGUUAAGUCCCGCAACGAGCGCAACCCUUUAUCCUUUGUUGCCAGCGGUCCGGCCGGGAACUCAAAGGAGACUGCCAGUGAUAAACUGGAGGAAGGUGGGGAUGACGUCAAGUCAUCAUGGCCCUUACGAGUAGGGCUACACACGUGCUACAAUGGCGCAUACAAAGAGAAGCGACCUCGCGAGAGCAAGCGGACCUCAUAAAGUGCGUCGUAGUCCGGAUUGGAGUCUGCAACUCGACUCCAUGAAGUCGGAAUCGCUAGUAAUCGUAGAUCAGAAUGCUACGGUGAAUACGUUCCCGGGCCUUGUACACACCGCCCGUCACACCAUGGGAGUGGGUUGCAAAAGAAGUAGGUAGCUUAACCUUCGGGAGGGCGCUUACCACUUUGUGAUUCAUGACUGGGGUGAAGUCGUAACAAGGUAAGCGUAGCGAG
rnacentral:rRNA from 1 species